rnacentral:rRNA from 1 species
UGGGGAAUUUUGGACAAUGGGCGAAAGCCUGAUCCAGCGACGCCGCGUGGAGGACGAAGGCCUUCGGGUUGUAAACUCCUUUUAGAGGGGAAGAAAAAAAUGACGGUACCCUCAGAAAAAGCCACGGCUAACUACGUGCCAGCAGCCGCGGUAAUACGUAGGUGGCGAGCGUUACUCGGAAUUACUAGGCGUAAAGCGUAUGUAGGCGGCUAGAUAAGUCUUCGGUGAAAUUUUCCGGCUUAACCGGAAAGGGCACGAGGAUACUGUUUGGCUUGAGUGUGGCAGGGGGAGACGGAAUUCCUGGUGUAGCGGUGAAAUGCGUAGAUAUCAGGAGGAACACCGAUGGCGAAAGCAGUCUCCUGGGCCAAUACUGACGCUAAUGUACGAAAGCUAGGGUAGCAAACA